rnacentral:lncRNA from 1 species
GGCGGCGAGAGCUGUGUCUGAAGACACCGCAAGACAACAGUGGAGUCCUGGUGGAGAGGACAGAUGCAGAUAUAGAUAGUGAGAGAGAGAGAAGAGGUUCGCUAUGGGUUGCUUUGUAAAGCCAGCAUUGGUGCUUAGUAUUUUUUUACGUUAGAUUACUCCUCGGAUAUUUUUAAAAUUAGAUUAUACUAUUCAAACGUUACCAACACCCACUCAACCAUAGGGCCCCACGUCAUCUAACGCAUAUUUCUUAAUCCCAAUGGCUAAAAUAUUACAAAGGCACCGCAAUAACUUGUACACUUUAAAGUAUUGCAGCUCAUUAUCUUAGUCCGGCAUUAUACUCCUUAUGAGGUACGAUCACCGUGUAUCAUAAGUUAUUUUCGAUGAGUAGAGCUUUCUGCAAUCGACGAAUCCACACCGUUAACGUCUAUUUAGAGCAUUUAAAACUUCUGAAAUCAAUUUUAUUAAUUUUUCGACCAUCAUUACUUACGAUCACAAGCUCACAAAUGACCAAGUUUUUAACGGAUCGGAUCAUGGAUGCUAGUUAACGCGUGGAAAAGAAUGGAAUAGGUUGAAUAUUUGAUAUAGAAAAUUCUAUUCAAUACAUAAUAAACGAUCAUAACUCUGAUAUUAAAUUGAAUGAUCGAUUAAUCAUUUUUAAUAGGACGUCGUUCGAUUUUUGACUUGUUCAUUUUAUUUGCCGCUUGAUGGAUUUUAUUAUGUAUUUUGAAAAAUAAAAUUUAUGUUUUAAAAGUUUUCAAAUACUCUAGAUCGCUAUUUACGGGAAGUGGAUUGUCGAUUCGAAAGCUCCAUCUCGCAAAACAACUUUUGAGUUACUAAGGGACCACUUUUAUCAUAAGAGUAUGUAGCCCUUAUUCUAUAUAUUAUAUAGUAUAUAGUAUAUAUUAAUUAGCCGCUGGAUACUGAUUAGUAGUAAAAACUUUUUUUGCUAAUCAAUGUUUUUAACCCUUAGAUGAAAAUUGUGGGUAUAGGAUGAUAUUUAGGUCAGUUAGAGAGUUGAGUGGCCACCUAGGUUGAAGUGGUCCGCCAUAGGUUAAUAGUUUUAUCCAUGGUUUAGUAAUGUGAAAAGAGUUGAUCAAUGCGCGAAACUGGGUAAAGCAACAAUGAAAUUUGUGUACUAAUAGUAGCCCAGGUCCAAUAUAUAUAUAGAUAUAUAUAUAUAAUAUUUUUAUAUAGAGUUGUGCCUGGUAUGUUAUGGGAAGCACGGAGGCCUCCGUGGCUUCCAAGUCGUUUUCAGAUUUUCGGCACUAUCGAAUGCGACGUUCGGCUCGUUAGAUGUUAGUCUAGAGUAUCUGACAAUACCUAGCAAAUAAAUUUUGCCGAAUUUUUCGAUUAUUUGCCCUAAGUGAUCGAAGGCGGCUCAGAAAUCAAUAUUUUAACGGCGGUGGUGGCGGUUGAAGUUUAACGGUGUAGAAAUAUCAAAUCACAUAUGAAAUUUUGAUAGAAAUUCUUAUAUAUCAUAUAACAAGAUCAAUAACUUUAGAUCUAAAAUUUUAAUGUUCAUGAUCAUUUUAGGCUGGAAUGAUAUUAGUAGUAAAACACUUUUUUUGCUAUCAAGUUUUUUAACCCUUAGAUGAAAAUUGUAGGGUUAGGAUGAUAUUUAGGUCAGUUUAGAGUGAGUGGCCCCCCUAGGGUUGAGUGGUCCCUAGGUUAUAGUAUUAAUCAUGGUUUAGUAAAUGAUGAAAAGAGUUGAUCCAAUGGCUUAAAAACUCUGGUAGCAACAAUGAAAUUUUGCUACUAAUAGAUAGCCCAGUCCAAUAUAUAUAUAAUAUAUAUAUAUAUAUUAUAUAUAUAUAUAUAGAGUUGUGCUGGUAUGCUUAUGGAAGCACGGAGGCCUCCGUGGCUUCCAAGUCGUUUUCGAUGUUCGGACUUUCGAAUCGACGAUCGGCUCCGUUAGGAGUUAGAUCUAGAGUAUCUGAAAUACCUACGAAAAUAAAUUUUGCGAUUUUUUCGAUAUCAUUUGCCUAGUGAUCGAAGGGCUCAAAAUCAAUAAUUUUAACGGCCGUGUGUGAGCGCGGUUGCAGGUUUAACGGUGUAGAAAUAUCAAAUCACAUGAAAUUUUGAUUAGAAAUUCUUAUAUUAUAUAAACAAGAUCAAUAAUUGUCUAAAAUUUCAAAUGUCAUAUCAUUAUAUUUUGUAAGAUUUUUAUUUUCAGCCGUUGAUUUUGAGCCACUUCGAUCACUAGGCAAAUGAUAUCGAAAAAUCGCAAAAUUUAUUUUCUAGAUACUUCAAAUACUCUAGAUCAAGUCUAAUGGAGCCGAUCGUCAAUUCGAAAGUCCGAACAUCGAAAACAAAGUGGAAGCACGGAGCCCUCCGUCCCGGCUCUGUAGAAAUAGUGGGGUGAGAACUACAACAAGUACAAAUAGAGUACAAAAUUUGCACACGCGGAAGCAUACAUAAUGGCUUGCACGAGGGCGAGCAAUGGCCAAAGUGAAAGUACUAACUAAUCAACAUACAAGUACUAUGAUUAAAUUUAAAUCACAAACAUGCAUGCAACUUGUACAUUUGCAUUCUUUUCUUAUCACCAUUUUUUUUUUCUUUUACAUCACAUGAUAUCUCAAAAUAUAACUUUUGCAUUAAAAUAUAAAUCCUUUUACAUAAUUCAUUUAAACAUCUUUGAUACUACUAAAAUCAUCAAGUACAAAAGAUGAUGUAUAAGGGUAUGCAGCUAAACCAAAAUGUGAAACCAACUCGGGUGGUCUCUAUCUAUGGCGCGAUACCUUUACCGUAAUCAUUCGCUGGCUCGCUCGGUCCCGGCUCUAUGAAAAUAGUGGGGUGAGAACUACAACAAAGUUUCCAGUGGGUUCGGCAACCGACCUCGCCGACUUUUCUACUAGGUCUAAAUCAGCCAUAAUAGAAGAAAAAAUAGAUAGUAGCCAACUAACAAAUAUAGCUAAUAUGCCUGAACAAUGUAUAGUAAAUCAUAUGCUUAAUGAAAUGCUCAUGAUGAAUGCAAGUUUACUUUACUUUAUUCAAUCUCGCGGUUAACCCGUCAGGCCCUCAGCUUCCUCCCUUAGGGUUCCAUAACUCACCAACUCAAGUCCCAAAUAACGGGCCCUCAGCUUCCUCCCGUGGGACCGUCCUCUGGGGAUUCCCCUUCCCAGUGAUGACAACUCCGGAGCGUACUAUUAUUUCACAUGCAUUUGUACUCACAACAUGCAAUAAGAAGCUCUCAAUUAACCCUACUAUGCACAAUUCUCAACAUUCACAUAUGCUCAAAAAUGACACUUUAGAUAUAAAAGGAAAUUCAACGUUUUCGGAAUGCACCACCCACCUUAUAUGGUUAUAGAGGUGCUACGAUUCAAUUCUUAGAAUUUUUUGGGCGCCUAUUCCGUGUGCUGCGACUAUCUGUACCAAAAAUGACGUUUUUGUCAAUAUCUUUGCAUACACUCGUCGGAUCAUCGAACCGAGUUCAUAUUCUUGUUAGAAAUAUUCCUAAUUAGGUUUCUACAAGGCAAAUUUGCCUCGAAAACAACCUAGGGGCAAAAACCCCAAAUUUGGUGCCCUAACAAUGCCAUUUAUUAAAUCUUUGGGUUUGAUCUCUAGAACAAGCAAAAGAAAGCUUGUUGAACCUCUAGGAACUCUUUUAGAACCUUUUCUAAGCCUUUCAAACCAUUUCUAGGGCAUAAAAACUAAACUCUAGGUUUCUACCAUGGGAGCACAUGAGGAAAGCCUUAUUUUUAUGUGUUCUAUAGCCUCUAGAAGGUUUCUACUCUUGUAAGAAGCUCAAACCCAAAGAUCUAGGGCAUAAAAUUCAAGCCCUAAUCCUAACCUUACAAGAAAACCUUACCUUGGCCCUAAGCUCUCUAAAGUCCACCUUGUAGGAGAGACCCAAACCUCCAAAAGCCUAAAAAAUCUCCUCCAAAUCCGUCUCCUACUUCUUCUCUUUGCUCCUUGGAGAGAUUUCUAGAGAGAGAAUGAGAGAAAUGAGAGAGGAGAGGUGUUUGGCUGUUGUGAACUGGUGGGAAGGGUGUUGGGGUGAUUUUAUAAGGUGCUACAAUAGCAAAAAGGCCCUUCACUUCUUUCUAUUUAUAGCAGACUUCAACCUGCUGUCGGGUCCAAUGUGUACCGGUACAAGGUGGGCUAUCACCGGUUACACAAUCUCGCAUAGGCAAACCCGAGAGCAAUUGUUCGGGUUUUGCAAAAGUGUGCCGGUACAUACCAGGGGUGUCACCGGUAACACGACUUCGCAAAGGCAAACCCCAGAGUAAUUUCUCUCGGUUUGCAGUGUUGUGCCGGUACAACAUCAAUGUUGUACCGGUACACAAUGCCCAGACUUGGGUUUUAGGCCGAGCAAUGCCAAGACCCUUCUAACUCUUCCCAACUCACUUUUAACUCUUCCAACCUUGUUGGAAAGUUAAAUAAGACUUGUCUAACUAUUUCUUUCGCACACUUGAGCCAAUUUGGCCAAAGUUCGAUACUCCCUACCGAGUUUCGGUACGUUACAAUAUAGAUAACUCAAAAGAUGGCAAUCUAGAUGGGAAACUAGUAAAGGUGGGCAAUCUAAUAUGAUAAUUUGGUUGGUGGGUGAGUUGGGAUCCCCUGGUGAUAGUUAAAUUGACCCCUGGUGAUAGUAGGAUUGGCGUGUUGAAAAGUAGGUUGUCGGCUUUUGAGUUAUUAUGGUUCCCGAACUAUGAUAACUAUCAUAUCAUCGUAUUAAGAGAGAGAGAUAUAUAUAUUAUCGUUUGCCCGAGGCAACGGUGGGUAAACAAAAGCUACUACCUCGGAGGUUUAGCUGCUAGCCGUGACAACUUGUACUAGAUAUGGUGAACUUCACAAAUCUUUAGUUAAAAGUUUAGAAAAGCUGUAGUAAACGGAUUACUAGUUUCCCAAAGUUUUAAACAUUAAAAUUACCAGCUAUACUCCGCAAAAGAACAAACUGCCGCAUUUCUAUAGGUUUAGUUAACUUAAAAACAAUCUUUUAAGAAAUUUGAUAAACUUUGUUCUAGAUAUGAGAAUUAGAACUAAUGUUCUGAGGAUAGUAGUAAAAUAUUUCUUAUAAGUAAAAGUCGGCAAAUAAAAACACAGGUGAGCUACCUAUUCUCUUGUUAUAGCUUUUACAUAUUUUAAACUAAAGAUUUGUGAAGUUCACCAUAUCUAGUACAAGUUGCCACGGCUAGCAGCUAAACCUCCGAGGUAGUAACUUUUGUUUACCCACCGUUGUCUCGAGCAAAGAUCGAGUUGAGAUAUAUAUAUAUAUAUAUAUAUAUAUAUAUAUAUAUAUAUAUAUCAGACCCCGAUGAUAUGAGAAUACUCAUAUCUGGGGGAAUAUGAGUAUUUAAAAAUUGGCAACUAACUACCCUACACACCAAUCCUACUACCACCAGGGGUGAAUCUUAUUAUCGCCAGGGGAUCUCAACUCACCCAUCAACCAACUUAUCAUACUAGAUUGCCCACCUUUACUACUUACCUUAUUUAGAUUCCCAGCUUUUGAAUACUCAUAUUCCCUCGGUUAUGAAUAUUUUCAUAUCAUCGGCCUGAGAUAUAUAUAUAUAUAUNGUAGCCGGACUCUCUCUCUCUCUCUCUCUCUCUCUCUCUCUCUAUAUAUAUAUAUAUAUAUAUAUAUAUAUAUAUAUAUAUAUAUAUAUAUAUAUAUAUAGCAGGGUUGUUGUGCUCUAAGGAGCACGGAGGCCUCCAUGCUCCUGAGCCGUUUUCGAUGAUGGAAUUUUCGAAUCGACAAUCGGCUUAGUUAGACUUGAUCUAGUGCAUUUGAAGUUUCUAGAAAAAAUAAUGUUUGUGAUUUUUUGAUAUCAUUACUUAGUGAUCGAAAGGAUUCAACAUCAAUAAUUUUUAAUGGUUGAUAUCUACCAUUUUCAAGUUUAACGGUGUAGAAGUAUUUAAAUCAAAUGAAAUUUUGAUACAAAAUUCUUUAUACUAUCUACAACAAGAUCAAUAUUUCUGAUCGAAAAUUUUAGUGCUAUAUCACCACCUUUUAUAGAAUUUUUAUUUUCAGUCGUUAAAAAUUAUUGUUUUUGAAUCAUUUCGAUUGCUAGGUAAAUGAUAUCGAAAAAUCGUACAAAUUAUUUUCUAGAAACUUCAAAUAUGCUAGAUCAAGUCUAGCGGAGCCGAUCGUCGAUUCGAAAAUUCCAUCAUCGAAAACGGCUCAGGAGCACGGAGGCCUCCGUGCUCCUGAGAGCACAGCAGCCCUGUUGUCUCUCUCUCUCUCUCUCUCUCUCUCUAUAUAUAUAUAUAUAUAGAGAGAGAGAGAGAGAGAGAGAGAGAGAGAGAGAGUAGGUCUUGUGUGCUAUUAGGAGCACGGAGCCCUCCGUGCUCCUGAGCCGUUUUCGAUAAUGGAAUUUUCGAAUCGAUGAUCGGCUCUGUUAGACUUGAUCUAGCGUAUUUGAAGUUUCUAUAAAGUAAUUUUUGCGAUUUUUUGAUAUCAUUUACCUAGCAAUCGAAAUGAUUCAAAAUCAAUAAUUUUUAAUGGUUGAUAUCUGCCGUUUUCAAGUUUAACGAUGUAGAAGUAUUCAAAUCAGAUGAAAUUUUGAUACAAAAUUCUUUAUACUAUCUACAACAAUAUCAAUAUUUCUGAUCGAAAAUUUUAGUGCUAUAUCACCACUUUUUAUAUGAUUUUUAUUUUCAGUCGUUAAAAAUUAUUGAUUUUGAAUCCUUUCGAUUGCUAGGUAAAUGAUAUCGAAAAAUUGCAAAAAUUAUUUUCUAGAAACUUCAAAUACGCUAGAUCAAGUCUAACGGAGCCGAUCGUCAAUUCGAAAAUUUCAUCAUCGAAAACGAUUCAGGAGUACGGAGGGCUCCAUGCUCCUGAAAGCACAGUAGCCCUGCUAUAUAUAUAUAUAUAUAUGCUAGUUGAGUGUACGUAUAAAUACAGGUAAUAAUUAUUUUAAUUUAUUUUAAAUUAAUAUAAAUAUGUAUAUUAUAUUUAUUUAAAAAUUUAUAAUAAAAAUUAUAUUUUAUAAAUUCAUAUGUUAUAUUUUAUUAGAAAAUAUUUGUAAUAUUCUAUUUUUUUUUAUAUACAUUAAAUAUUUUUAUAUAUUUUUUGAUUUCUGAUGAUCUAAAAUUUAAAUAUGUGUUUUAAACAGAAAGCAUCAAAAUUUAAUUCAUAUUUAUUUAAAAAUUUAAAAUUUAAUUUUGAUCCACUAUAAUUAAAAUUUUUGGGGUAUAAUCACUUAAUUAAGUGAUCAUAACUGUUCGUAGAAAAUAUAGGAAAUAUUCUUUUAUUUCUUUUUGGAUUUCUUUAUAGAUGGAUAAGAAUGCUAUUUUUUAACAGAUUAAUUAUAACCAUUCGUUUUUAUUUGAGAUUUUUUUAAUUAAGUGAUUAUACCCAUUCGUACACGUUCGUGGGAAAUAUAGAAAAUAUUUUUUAUUCCUUUUUGGAUUCCGUCUGUUAUUGUCAGAAUUUCUAUACUCUUUUAUAUAUAGUAUAGAUAUAGAUAUAUAUAUUGAAUUGAGCUCAUGUGCUUUUAGAAGCAUAGAAGCUCAACGUACUUGUAAUUUUUUAGUCCUCGAAUCGUCUCAAAAUCUGUGCAGCACUAGACAGUAAUGCAUUAGUAAAUUCACAAGGUUAUUUAUUUUUUAUCGUUCAUUUUUCGACUAUUCAAUGAACUUAAUAACGGAUUUUAAAAUUUAUAAAAUUUAGCUUUUAGAUGUUAUAAAUACUUUAGAUCAACUUUUAUGAUUUCGAUUAUUAAUUUGGAAUCCCUAUCAUCUAAAACGAAUUAGCUGGCGAAGGUCUCCGUCCUCCUAAAAGGAUGGUCGCUGUACUCUCUCUCUCUCUCUCUCUAUAUAUAUAUAUAUAUAUUGAAUUGAGCUCAUGUGCUUUUAGAAGAUAGACACUCAGGGCCUGUUUGGAUACACAGUAAAAUAUCUCCACGGAAUUUGUAAAUUGUGGUUUCGGUCUAGAUAAAAUAGAGAAUCCUGCAACUCUAAAAAAUUCCAGGGAUUCAAUUUUUAAACUGUUUGGAUACGCAUUGUACAAUUUCACAGAAUUUUUCUAAAUUUUAAGAUUAAAAGUUAAAAUUAAAAAUUUCAAAAAAAAUUUAAAAUUUAAAAUUUAAAAUUUGAUAUGUGAACUUUUGAAUUUUGAAUUUUAAAUUUUAAAUUUUCAAAUUUGAAAUUUACAAAUUUAAAAUUUAAAAUUAAAAAAAUCUAAAUUUAAAUUUUAAAUUUUUAAAAUUUUAAAUUUAAAAUUUUAAAAUAAAAUUUUAAAUAAAUUUUAAAUUUGAAAUUUGAAUUGAAUUUGAUAAUUUGAAUUUUAAUUUAAAAUAAAUUAAAAUUUAAGUUUGAAAAAAUAAUUUUAAAAUUUAAAGUUUUAAAAUUUUGAAAUUUGAACUACGAGACUUGAGGUUUGAAAUUUGAAAAAUUGAAUUGAUAAUUUUAAAUUUUAAAAUUUUAAAAGAUUAAAAAUGUUAAAAUUUAAAAGUUUGAAAUUUAAAUUUAAAGAUUUAAAUAUUAAAGUUUGAAUUUAAAAUUUAAAUUUAAGUUUAAAAUUUAAAUUUGAAAAUUGAAAAUUGAAAAUUGAAAAUUAUAUUUGAUAAUUUUAUUUAAAUAAAAAUUUUAAAAUUUGAAUUUUAUUUUAAUUUACAUUUAGAUUUUAAAAUUUAAAUUUUAAUUUAAAAAAAAAUUUAAAAUUUAAUAGUUUAAAUUUGAAAUUUGAAAUUUAAAUUUGAUAUUUGAAAUUUGAAAUUUGAAAUUUAAAGUUUGAAAUUUAAAAUUUAAAAUUUAAAAUUUUAAUUUAAAAUUUCAAAUGUGAUAUUUCAAAUUUCAAAUUUUAAAUUUUAAAUUUUAAAUUUUAAAUCUAUGUUGAAAUUUAAAAUCUAUGUGGAAAUUGAAAAUUUUAUGUUGAAAUUUAAAAGUUAGAACUUGAUGCAUUUUUUUGAAUAAUGGAGCUCAAGAAUGGUGGAAUUUUUUUCCUUUGGUUAGAGUGGAUUAUACUUUUACUCCAUUUUUUGGAGUAUAGUUUAACUAUACUCCAAAUAUUACGUUACUUUUUUUCCUCCCAAACGCUUUAUAGGAUAUUUUUCCUACCACCAUAGCAUAGUUUAACUAUGCUACGUUUUCAGGAGUAUCCAAACGGGCCUCAAUAUAUUUGUGAUUUUUUAAACCUCAAAUCGUCUCAAAAUUUAUACCGUAUUAAAUGAUAAUAUAUUAGUAGAUGAGAUUUAAUGAAAUAUAUUAUUAAUUAGUACUCAACGAAUCUUGAGGCAAUAGUCACCGAUAAUAAAUGUUCUCGUGUUUUUAAUAAAAGAAUAGAAGCUCAUGUCUCUCUCUGUAUAAGGUGUACAAUUGGGGUUGUGGACCAAGUCCAAUCGACAGUUUCUCUCCGUUGCCUUUGUGAUUCACAUUGCCUACUUUAUGACUAGUUGCUAUAAUAUAAUUCUAAUUAAGAUAUAUAUAUAAUAUACAUAUACAUAUCCUCCCCGCACUCUCUCUCUUUUUGUUUGUUUGUUUUUUCCUACUUGCUGUUUUUGAAGAGAGAGAGACAUCUAGAGAGAGAGAGGAAUGGAGGGGGAUGAGGGAGGAGGGGAGUGGGGGAUCGAGCGGUAUCUCCGCGACCAUUUCGACCUGCCGGCGAAGAACCCGUCGGAGGAGGCGCGGCGGAAAUGGCGCUCCGCCGUCGGCAAGGUCGUCAAGAACUACCGCCGCCGCUUCCGCAUGAUCCCCGACCUCGACCAGCGCCUCCAGGACGAAGCCAAGCGCCGAUCCAUCCAGGUUUUAAAAAUCAUCACCAUCAUCAUCAUCAUCAUCAAGUAUCAUUUUUUUUGUACAAAUCAAUCAUUUUGGAUCCGAAUUGUUGGAUGAAUACUAGUGUUUCUGCGUGCGCUUUUCUUUCUCUCUAUCUCUCUCUCCAUUUUUUUUCUUUUAAAAAAAUAAAAAUUAAUGUUCGCAUUACAUUCUAGUUGCUGUUGUCGUUGUUGUCGCUGUUGUUGUUGUUGUUGAUUUGGAUGUGGUCGAGACGAAUGGUGGGGACGAUCGUGGAGGUCAAUCGUUGAAAUCAAUGCGGAAGAAACUACCACGAAGCUUCGCGCUGUGACGUCCAAUAUGGGGUAGGGUUUUCAAAUGUACGGUCCGCAGUGGUGGGCCCCUGUUGUCACGAUCUGAUUUUUUUUUUUUCUUUUUCAAAUUUAGUUAGUUCGCAUUGGGUGGGCAUUUUCUUGCUUGAUUGGGCCACGGAGUCUAAUGAAACGGCUGGGAAUCCGAUCCGAUUCCAUUCAUCACCGACCUUUCCGGUCGCUUUUUCUCGUGGAUUUCGUGCCACAAUGUGGUUUUGCUGGUACUUGUCUAAGCUGUACUUUGUCCAGGGACUUUCCAAAAAACUAAUCGCUGCGAAAAUUAGAGUGGAAUCUUGGUAGGUCCUUGUUGGGGUCUAAAAUGUUCCUUAUGGUAAUAAAGAAUCCUUUUCCCAGGAACCUUUUUGAACAAGGGCGUGUACUUUUGAUACCCGUUCACAAACUAUUGCCCAGAGACUUUUCAACUAACUAAUUGCCAGGAAAAUUAGAGUGGAAUCUUGGUAGGUACUUGUUGUGACUUGUGGGACAAAUGAACCAAGUUAUUAGGCCUGCAGAUUCUUCUUUUAGAUACCAUUACUUGCAAAAUUGGUUUCUUUUAUUCAGCUAUGUGUUGACAUUAGAAGACAUGUUGCGUAGAAGGCCUUCUCUAAAGGGUAAAUAACACAACAAGUCCCUAAACAUUUUGUCAAGAAGCAUUGUGGUUCGCAAACUCUAAUUUAUCUUAUUCGAGGGCUCAAUUUUUGUGAGCUGUUACAAUCUAGUUUUGCUAUUUGGUUCUGUUGCAUUACUUGUUCCUCCUUUUCUGUCCUUGCAUAGUCCUUUUGCCCUUUCCUCUAUCUCUAGAGUUAUAGAGAUCCCACUAGCUUUGCCUGUUCCCCACUUCUCAGCUUCGAUACUUACUCUAGAUUACUAACUUACACAACUAUUUCUGCUGUUUUCACCUCUCCUCUCUCUUAAACCUUGUGCCAUUCUUGACCUUAAGUAUGUUGUCAAACUCUUUUUGCCCUUGAACCAUGUUGUUUUCUCGACCACCUUCUUCUCCUCUUUUCCUCCUUCCAAAAUUCGAGCCCAAUUUUUGUCCAACCUUUGUCUAAUCGUCCAGCUCUUAUUUGCUUCACACAUUGGAUUGACAAACUGUUUCUUAUCAUUCAUCUAGUCACUUCCACAGUCAUUGCAUCAUCUUUAGUCUUGUCAGCUCAAAGCACCAUAAACUUGAGGAUCUCUCGAAGGUAACCCUAGUUUUGACAUAACGUUGACAUGAGAGGAUGAACAAUCACUUCCAAUGACGAAUCACUUGCUUGAUGGCUUGUCAUUUUGAGAUUCCUCAGCGCAACAAAGAUAACUUUUGUUUGUAAAAUGGAUGUUGAUUGUGGUUUAUAUAAUUAUGCGAGCCAUGGAUAAUGACUAUAUCCAUCAACCCAGAUGAAUGAACUAUGAACCUAAUCCACGACUUGGUUGCAGCAUUUUAUAAAGUUUGAUCAAUUGGCUUAGGCAAUUAAAAGAGUGUAACAACUAGUAGCUUUGGAACUUGCAAAAUAUAUUCUUUAUAAGUCAUUAAUUAUUAAUGCAAUUAUCGCAGCCUAUGUGCAAUGCUAGUGUCAGAAUAAACUUUGCUACAGUAUCGGAGGUGGCACUUUUUCAAUAUAUAUAUAUAUAUAUAUAUAUAUAUAUAUAUAUAUAUAUAUANUUUUUUCAAUAAUGUGAUGAGAGAGCUGUUUGAUUAAUCACAUGUUGAUUUCCAGUUUAACAGCUUGAUUGGAUGGACACCAGUAUAUAUUUAUGGAUAUGCAUUAGAUCUAGCUAAAAUCAGGGAUUUUGCGGUAUCAUAUAAGAGUCGUAUAUUUUAUUUGAUGAUUGUUUGGAAACUUAUGAAAAUUUUAUCAAUCUCCAAAAACUAGUUAGAAAGUUUCAAUUUGAAAAGCUAGUUGAAAAAAAACUCCAAAGUUGAAAACAUAGCUGUUGGAGACUACUCAUGCUCAUAAUUUAAAGCUGUUUCAACGAGAGCAACCAAUUAGCAUUUGCUCAUAGUUUCCAUUUAAAAGUUCAAUUUUGUAGAAAUUAUGGUUGUUUGGCUGAUAAAUAAUAUUUAAUGUUGAGAAGGAAGGAAAAGAAGAAAUAUGAGUUCAUGGAUCUCAUUCUUUGGAUAAUGUGCUGCUGCUGUACAUUGGAGUGUUCAUUGCUACAAAACUAAAAUACAAUCUACCGAACUAGGAAUUGCAAAUUUAUUGUCAUAUAAAACUAUACACUUCAAAAAUGUUAAUUUAGAAUUCAUAAUAUAUAUAAAACAAAAUUAAGAGUUCAUUAAAAAAAGUAUACACAACACUAGAAAGAAUGAGGGAAGUGGAGAGGCAGCGCCUUUCCCUCAUCUCGCUCCUCUCUGCCCAGUAAGAGAAGGGAAGGGGGAAAAGGGUACCCCCUCCCUCAUACAUACUUCUAGUGAGAGAAGUAGUCCCUUCCUAUCUUUCUUCUUGCCUAGUAAGAUAGGGAGGAAAGGAGUACUCUAUCUUUUUUUCAUCCUGUUGCAGAGAAGGGAGGUGGUGAAAGGGCGCCCCUUUCUCUCUCUCUUAGUGGAGAGUAGAGAAGGUGAAGGGGCCCUCUUCUUCCUUUUUACUUGGUUAGAGUGCCCUCUUCCUUCUUUUAACUUAGUUGAAGUGACUAUCUCUUCUAUUUGACUAGAAAGAUACGAUUCAUAGGAUUUCUUGCCAUUGUUAGUAAUUUUUCGGGAAGUGUUAUGGUAUGAAGGAAGGAAAAAGAAAUAAAUGUUUGUAAGGGGGUGGUUACCGAUGCUUCAAAUGAAAGAGGAUUUUUGUUGAUCAGAGUAGAAUAUCAUUUUUCCCAUAUAUCUUGUUGGAUAGGAUUUCUUUCUAUUAGGUUUGGGUUUUUAAGAGACUAUCCAAGCACCUUUUUAGAGAACAUAUCCUAUGGAGUAGGAAAGAUUUUCGAUAUCACAUUUUAGAGGGUCUUAGGAAUGGACCGUAUUGGCCGGUGUAUAUAGGGCCAAGGAUCGCCUGUGUUGCCGGUGUCGUACUGUGCCUAGGUUGUGUUGGCAUGUUGCACGAUGUUAGCCUGCUGUAUAGAUGAAAUGGUUCUUUUGAGCUUUUGAGGUCUUUUUGGGUUUUGACCGUAUUGGCUGGUGAAUUAUAUGAUAUAAUAUUUCAUUUUAUGUAAUUUCAUCUAUAAUAUGAAACAGUAUAUGUAAUAUUCUAUAAUAUAAGAUGUGUUAGGCUAAAACAUUUAUGAAGUAAACGAGACUGUCACAUUGUUUCUACUGUUGGACUAUCUAAAUCGAUGGUCAGCAUUGCUAGACAUUAUCUAGGUUAUUUGAACUUUCUAUUAACCAAAUUUUUGUAAUUUUUGGGCAUCAUUAACCUUUGCAUUUCAAGUGGUUUCAAAUUCGACAACUUUUAGUAGCAAAUAUAAGGUGAAUUUGGGACCACUUGAUCCCUAGGCAAAUGUUGUCGUACAAUUAUGAAAUUGGUUUCUAUAAGGUUCAGAUUAUCUAGAUUGUGCUUAACAAUGCCUAUCAUCUAAUCGGAUGUCCCAUAGCCGGAAACAAUUAGGAAGUAAAUGGUUCCAUUUACUUCUAGAAGUUUUCUAACUUUAUUUAUUUAUUUAUCCAUUUUAUGCUAUAUUAUGUAUAAUAUAAUUUGUAUACAUUAUAAUUCUACAUAUAUCGUUAUAAUAUAUAAUAUAGAUCAUAGUAAAUAAAAUAUAAUAUAAAGUUUUUAUAUAAUAAAAUAUACAUAAUGAAUAAAAUACUUGUGUGAUAAUAUAUUAUUAACUUUGUUGAAUAAUAAUAUUUAAUUUAAUAUAACUUAAAUAAAUAAAAUAGUAUAGCUUUUAAUAAAAGAAUAUUUAAUAUAUAAUGAAAAGGUAAAACAUAUAGAACUUAUUUGAACUAUGAACCCUUUUGAAUUGGCAACCCCACCUUACAAAAUUUUGAUUUUGCUACCCAACCUUUCAAUUUGUUGGAUUUGUGUUGGUCAACAGUACUUUGGCUUCAAAAUUUUAAGCUAAUUACUUUAAUAAAUUUAUAGUUGUGGGGAUCACAUGAAAUAUACUAAAUAAAUCUGUAAAGGUAAACAAAGCAUUAAAAUUUUGAAGUCAAAGUGCCGUGGACUGACUCAAAUCAAACAAAUUGAAAGGUUGGAUAGUAAAAUCAAAAAAUUGAAAGGUUGGGUAGCUAAUUCAUAAUGGUCCAUAGUUCAGGUAAUGUAUGCAAGUUUUUACCAAUAAUAUUAUAAUGUUGUUUUCUUUUUUAAUGUAAUUCGCUUUACAUUAUAUGAUUUUAGUUAAAAAAAUAUUUUAACAAAAAUAAUGUUUAUUUUUACACACACACACACACACACACACAUACACACAUAUAUAGUCCGGUUGGGGUGCUUUUAGUAGCACUAAGGUGUUGGUGCUAUAUUCUUUUUGGUACAUAUAUAUUAACCCUAAUGGCCUUUGGAUCAUGCACAAUAGUGGGCUCCACAAGUAACCAUUAUUGUUGACUUUUGAUCCAAUAGCCAAAAGGGUAGAUCUAAGGGCUAAAAAUUAUAAGCACCUAAGGCUUUGGUGCUUUCAGAAGCAUUUCGGCUUAUAUAUAUAGAGAGAGUUGAGCUGGAAUGCUAUUGGUAACAAGCGGGCUCCGUUGCCAUUCAUUUGUUUUCGAUGAUGGAGCCUUCAAAUCGACGAUCGGCACUGUUGAACAUGAUCUAUACCACUUGAAGUAUCUAGAAACCAAAUUUCAAAUCUUUUUAACAUCAUUGACUUGAUGAUUAAAGGGUUUCAAAAUUUGUAAUUUUAAUGGUAGAUAUGAGAUGUUUUCUUGUUUAACGGUAUAAAGCUAUUCAAAUCAAUUGAAUUUUGGUUAGAAAAUUUUUUGAACUAUUUAGAACAAGAUAUAUACUCUCAAUCUUGAUUAUAAAAUUCCUAUAAUUAAUUUUUAGAGGAUAUUUAUUUUCAGCCGUUCAUUUUUACUCCUACUUGGUGGACAAGAGAACAAUAUUGGAAAAUCAUGAAAUUUGAUUUCUAGAUACUUCAAGUGGUAUAGAUCAUUUUUAACAGUGCCGAUCGUUGAUUUGGAGGCUUCAUCAUCGAAAACAAUGGUGCCGAUCGUCGAUUUGGAGGCUCCAUCAUCGAAAACAAAUGGGUGGCAACGGAGCCUGUUUGUUACCGAUAGUAUUCCAGCUCAACUCUCUCUCUCUCUCUCUCUCUAUAUAUAUAUAUAUAUAUAUAUAUAUAUAUAUAUAUAUUGAGUAGGGCUACUAUACUCUUAUGAGUAUAGAGCCCUUCGUACUUAUAAGUUGUUUUCGAUGUUGGGCUUUUCGAAUCGAUGAUCCACACCGUUAAACAUGAUCUAUAGUAUUUGAAACUUCUAGAAAAUAAAUUUCGUAAUUUUUUGAAAUCAUUGUAAAGUCUAUCAAGCGGGUAUAAAAUAAACGGUUAAAAUCAAACGACAUCCUAAAAAUGGAUGAUCGGAUUCUUCAAUUUAAGAUCGGAGUUAUUGAUGUUUAUUUAGGUAGUGAAUAGAAUUUCUAUCAAAAAUUCAACCUAUUCCGAUUCUUUUUCACCGUUAAACUAGCAAAUAUCUCAUACCGGCCGUUAAAAUUGUCAAUUUUGUGAGAUUUUGAUCGUAAGGUAAAUGAUGUCAAAAAAUUAUAAAAUUUAAUUUCUAGAAGUUUUAAAUGCUCUAGAUAAUGUUUAACGGUGUAGAUUGUCGAUUCGGAAGCUCUAUCAUCGAAAACAACUUAUGAGUACGAGGGCGAUCGUACUCAUAAGAGUAUAGUAGCCGGACUCUAUAUAUAUAAGGAGAUAAAUAGGUGAAUGACUUUGUUCCAUGUACUCUCUUUUAUAGUGUUUGGUAUAGGCUGGGGGAUAUCCUUUUUGUUCCUAGGAUAAUUUUUUUAUUAAAUUACGACUUUAGUUUUAGUUGUUUUUUUCAUGCAUGUUCUUUCAUAAUCUUAUAUAUAUAUAUAUAUAGAACUAGGCUGGAAUACUAUCAAUAGCACCAAGCUAUUGGUGCUAUUGAUUUUUUAGCCCUUAGAUUGAGAAAUGAAUGGUUAGGAUGAUGUGGGCCCCCUAGGGUUGAGUGAGUGAUUGGUUGAAUAGUAUAAUCUAACGGGUAAAAAUAAUCAUAGGGUUAAAUCUAACGGUGGAAACUCGAUAGCACUAAAUCCUUGGUGCUAUCGAUAGUACCCUAGCCGGACUUUUAUAUUAUAUUAUAUAUAUAUAUAUAUAUAUAUAUAAUAUAUAUAUAUAUAUAGAGUCCGGCUGCAAUCUAUCGGUAGCACGGAGGCCUCCGUGCUACCAAGUU